GGGGGUGUAGCUCAGUCCGGUUAGAGCGCCUGCCUGUCACGCAGGAGGCCGCGAGUUCAAGUCUCGUCAUCCCCG
rnacentral:tRNA from 1 species